rnacentral:rRNA from 1 species
UGCCAGCAGCCGCGGUAAUACGAAGGGGGCGAGCGUUGUUCGGAAUUACUGGGCGUAAAGGGCGCGUAGGCGGUCAUUUAAGUUAGGCGUGAAAGCCCCGGGCUCAACCCGGGAACUGCGCUUAAAACUGAAGGACUAGAAAACGGAAGAGGGUAGUGGAAUUCCCAGUGUAGAGGUGAAAUUCGUAGAUAUUGGGAAGAACACCAGUGGCGAAAGCGGCUACCUGGUCCGAUUUUGACGCUCAUGGACGAAAGCCAGGGGAGCGAAAGGGAUUAGAUA